CGCAGAGCGGCCCGCUUCGGCGGGAUCAAUGCGGGAAGUUCCGGUCGCAACCCCGG
rnacentral:ribozyme from 1 species